rnacentral:rRNA from 1 species
UACGUAGGGUGCGAGCGUUAAUCGGAAUUACUGGGCGUAAAGCGUGCGUAGACGGUUAUUUAAGUCGGGUGUGAAAGCCCCGGGCUCAACCUGGGAAUUGCAUUCGAGACUGAAUAGCUAGGGUACGGUAGAGGGAAGCGGAAUUUCCGGUGUAGCGGUGAAAUGCGUAGAUAUCGGAAGGAACAUCAGUGGCGAAAGCGGCUUCCUGGACCAGUACCGACGUUCAGGCACGAAAGCGUGGGGAGCAAACGGG